GACGAACGCUGGCGGCGUGCUUAACACAUGCAAGUCGAACGGAAAGGCCUCUUUCGGGGGGUACUCGAGUGGCGAACGGGUGAGUAACACGUGAGUAACCUGCCCUUGACUUUGGGAUAACUUCAGGAAACUGGGGCUAAUACCGGAUAGGAGCUCCUGCUGCAUGGUGGGGGUUGGAAAGUUUCGGCGGUUGGGGAUGGACUCGCGGCUUAUCAGCUUGUUGGUGGGGUAGUGGCUUACCAAGGCUUUGACGGGUAGCCGGCCUGAGAGGGUGACCGGCCACAUUGGGACUGAGAUACGGCCCAGACUCCUACGGGAGGCAGCAGUGGGGAAUAUUGCACAAUGGGUGGAAGCCUGAUGCAGCAACGCCGUGUGCGGGAUGACGGCCUUCGGGUUGGAAACCGCUUUCGCUCAUGACGAAGCUUUGUGUGACGGUAGUGGGUAAAGAGGCACCGGCUAACUACGUG
rnacentral:rRNA from 1 species